rnacentral:siRNA from 1 species
UAAAUUGGCGUUUACUAUCUC